AUAUAUAUAUAUAUAUAUAUAUAUAUUGAUUCAAGAAUCUAAAAGAUCAUCAGAGCAAUGACAACAGGGAAUUGCUGAAGAAUGUAAUUUACAGAACAUGAAUGAAGUUGGAACAGAGUGUUUAGAUGACCCAAGAAAAAGUACAGAGAAUAUAGAGUUUGUGGGGUGUUCUUGAAAAUAAGUAGAGAAGGAAGAACUACUUAGAUUGAAUUGAUAACACCCCACCCCAGAACCAAACCGACCGACGAUUAAAGAUUAAUGUAUCUGUGCGUAUACCGAUACGUCUGUUUGUGGAGUGGGUUUUGUAUUGUAGGGGUGUUUGCAUGAGCAAAGAGCCUUGGAGAGGGAGGGAGCAACCACAACCAACAACAGUUGCCGAACCGGAAACCGUG
rnacentral:lncRNA from 1 species